rnacentral:misc_RNA from 1 species
GAUGAAGAACGUAGCGAAAUGCGAUAAGUAAUGUGAAUUGCAGAGUUCAGUGAAUCAUCGAAUCUUUGAACGCACAUUGCGCCCGUCAGUAUUCUGGCGGGCAUGCCUGUUCGAGCGUCAUUACGCCCCUCAAGUCCCCUGUGGACUUGGUGUUGGGGAUCGGCGAGGCUGGUUUUCCAGCACAGCCGUCCCUUAAAUUAAUUGGCGGUCUCGCCGUGGCCCUCCUCUGCGCAGUAGUAAAACACUCGCAACAGGAGCCCGGCGCGGUCCACUGCCGUAAAACCCCCCAACUUUUUAUAGUUGACCUCGAAUCAGGUAGGACUACCCGCUGAACUUAAGCAUAUCAAUAAGCGGAGGA